CUUCAUAUGGCCGACCAAAGGAAGAACAAAGGAAGCAAAGAAAGAACAAGAACCCUAGGGUGAAAAUUCAAGAGAAAAUUGGUGGAUUUCAAGUAAUCAAGCAAUCAAAGGUAAAAUUUAUUGAUUUUGACUUGUGAUCUACCUUUCCCAUGCAGUAUUUUGCAUUUUCCAUGGUUGAAUCACAAGAUAUCAUGAAGGAUUCAUGGCUGACCGAAUUUAGAGAGAGAAGAUUUGAUGAUUUAUUUGGUUAGAUUUUGAGAUAUUUUAGUGUUUUUAGUUGAUUUAUCAUGUUUGGAAGGAAAACAAGUAAGAAAAAUCACAUGUUCUUCAUGGAUUCUUCAUUGGCCGAAUUUCAUAAAGACAAUAUUGAAGAUGAAUCUUGUGAUGUCUUAUGUUAUUUAGUUAGAAUUUAAUGAAUUGUGGUGGUGGAAACCGAAAAUGGUAAUGUUUAGCAUGAAAAAAUCGUAUACCCUUCAAGAACCUCCAUUGGCCGAAUCUUUCCUAUGGUGUGUUGAUGGUGGAUUUGAUUUUAUUUAAAGUGAAUUGGUUAGGAAAUGAUGAAUUAUGGUGAGAAAAUCAAGUAGGAAAAAUCAUAGUGUUGAUGCACCCACCAUAGCCGAAUUUUUCAAGAGAAAAUGUGAGGAUGAUUUUACCAUAUUUCAAGUUAUUUAAUUUGUGUUUGAUGAUUUGGAGUAUUGGGAGAAAAAUGGAAUUAUUUGGAGUUGAAUUCGACGUAUUGGCCAAUUAAUUAGGUGAUAGAUCGAAUUAGGCCAAUACUGUUUUAUUUAGGUACAUAAUUGAAUUUGUGUAGGACACCGUGUUCAGACGAUAAUCCAAACAAUUUGCAUUCCAUUUCAUGCAUUAGUCAAGAGCCUGAAAUAGAUUUAUAAUGAUAUGACACAGUAUAUUGAAUUAUGUGUCGUGUAUUGUAUAUAGGUGGUGAGCCCUCUAACAAGGGUAAAGACAUUGUGUUAGAGGAUUGAGAAUAGGAGUAUUUCAAACUCCUGAUAUAGUGAGUAACCUUACUAUCGUCUUAAUUAUCUAAAAUGGUUUUUAUCCGAUUUUGUGAUUUUAUGGAAAAUGAGUUUAAAUGGUAAAUCUUUAUGUGUUAUAAAUAAAAUGUGUUUAAAUGAAAUGAUUUUAUAAAUUGUCUUGACAUUGAAUGACGGUUUUGAAAAUAAAGUAAUUGGAGACCAUUUUAUGUAUUGGGAAUUUAUGGUUCUAAUUGAUUGGCUUAUGACAAUAUUGGCAUGAAUGGCUGAAUUGGUAUUUGUGUUGAAAAUGUAUAAACUGUUGUUUGCCUUGAUAGGCUAGAUAAUGAUAAAAUUGCCAUGUCAUGCUAUUGAAUUUUAUUGAAUUGGUGGGUUAUUGAUAAGUCGCUGUAGUGGACGGGUUCUGUGGACUAGCCUAUUAGAGGGGGCACGAUAACCCUAUUAUAUUCUUACCUCAGUAUGAGAGGCGCAGAUGGAUAACUCCUGAGGUUAACACUUUAGAGUUCACUUCACGCCAAACCACCACGUGAGGGUGAAAUCAGCCAACGCCAAGGAACGGCUAUGUUUUCAAAAAUAAAAACAUGAUUUUAUGCGUACAUAACUUUUUAACAACCUUGGCGGACUCGGUUGGGAUAGCCCUCGGCCAAGGUAUCCCUGAUAACUGAGUAUGAGAAUGAUUUUGGCACAAGCCAAAGUUUUAAGAAAUUCAUAAGCCAUGUUGACUACACGAUUUAUAUAAAUUGAUUUUAUUUAGUUGAAAUGAGUUGCAAGGUGAUGAAUUACAGUUUGAUAAACUAUUUUAUCUGUCUCCAUUUACUCAGCUUUAGAUAUUUUAGAUGGUAUUUGUUUACUCAUUGGGAUUAUAUAAUCUCACCACCCUUCUUUCCACCCGUUUUAGGCUCAGGAUAGUCAGUAGAUAACUCACUUUGUUGAGGGCUACAGUUGGACUUGCAUCCUUAAAAAUUGUAGGUUUACCGUUUUUGAUACUUUUGGUCGUUCGUGGGCCCACGUGUCACUGUCAAUUAAAUUUUAUACUUUGGUUAUCUGUAUUACAGUAUGUAUGAAUUUAUUUAACUUUUACGCUAUAAAAAU
rnacentral:lncRNA from 1 species